UUGUAUAGAGUGACCCAAAGCACAUCCAAAAACAAACCCUUCAUCAUGUCUUACAUGGCAUUGGCUUUCAUUGUCCUGAUCGCUCUGGCAACAGUUAAUGCUGAACCUAAAGAAGUUGAUGCAGAUAUGAGUUCAAGAAAAUGUUAUAAACUUUAUGGGAGAUGUCGUUUGAAAUGUUUAAAGUAUGAGGAUAGUCAAGGAAGAAUGGAUUGCCCUGCACUUCAAAGGUGCUGUACUCUUACACUUUAAGUGAAAGAACUGCUUAUGAUAUUAUGCUUCCAUGAUUUUUUCUCCAGUCAUAGAACAAACAAAACAUCCAUCAUGGAGAAGCUACUGUGUUCUUUUGCUUUAUGAAGAACAUCUUCUCACCAUAUCUUCUUUGAUUUUGCAUUCUUCAUUAAUAAUUCCAACUCUAAUGAUUAGUGAAUGAUGAUGCUGCAAAGUCUCUGAGCUAACACAAUUUAAUAAUGUGACAGAAAACUAUCUUUGAAUGUUGACUUUUGCUUAAUUUGCCAUUAAAUGUUGAUUUUUGCAUUCA